rnacentral:lncRNA from 1 species
CUUCCGGAAGCUUUGCCUCCCGUUCGGUCGCUGCCUGAAGUUGUUCAAGGGCGAAAGUCGGCAAUCUUUCGAUAUCCGCUCUCUAAAGUGUGCAUAUCAUGCACCUACUGAAAAUAGAAGAUAAGUCAAAUCAGAUAAAAAAAAUAGACUGAGAGAAAUGUCAGAAGAUUACCCCAAGUAUCAUCAGAUAAAAGGAAGAGAACAUCCCGAUCACUAUCCGACUCUUCCUAUUCUCCCUAUCAGUCGGAAGAAGAGCAGCUUCGAUGAGCCGCCUAGCUAAUGUUAGAUUGGCUAAGGCUAACUCACCUUCGGAGAUCUGGAAGUCGAAAAGUGUGGGAAGGCCCACAGAUGACCCAUCAUCAGUCGAAGUUACCAAUGCCUUCCCUUGAUCUCCGAUCGACAGUCGCGCACUUGAGACCAUCAGAAAAUCAGUACUUGACUGCACCCA